rnacentral:rRNA from 1 species
GAUGAACGCUGGCGGCGUGCCUAAUACAUGCAAGUCGAGCGAACAGAUGAGGAGCUUGCUCCUCUGACGUUAGCGGCGGACGGGUGAGUAGCACGUGGAUAACCUACCUAUAAGACUGGGAUAACUUCGGGAAACCGGAGCUAAUACCGGAUAAUAUAUUGAACCGCAUGGUUCAAUAGUGAAAGACGGUUUUGCUGUCACUUAUAGAUGGAUCCGCGCCGCAUUAGCUAGUUGGUAAGGUAACGGCUUACCAAGGCAACGAUGCGUAGCCGACCUGAGGGGGUGAUCGGCCACACUGGAACUGAGACACGGUCCAGACUCCUACGGGAGGCAGCAGUAGGGAAUCUUCCGCAAUGGGCGAAAGCCUGACGGAGCAACGCCGCGUGAGUGAUGAAGGUCUUCGGAUCGUAAAACUCUGUUAUUAGGGAAGAACAAAUGUGUAAGUAACUAUGCACGUCUUGACGGUACCUAAUCAGAAAGCCACGGCUAACUACGUG